GCCGGGCGCGGUGGCGCGUGCCUGUAGUCCCAGCUACUCGGGAGGCUGAGGUGGGAGGAUCGCUUGAGCCCAGGAGUUCUGGGCUGCAGUGCGCUAUGCCGAUCGGGUGUCCGCACUAAGUUCGGCAUCAAUAUGGUGACCUCCCGGGAGCGGGGGACCACCAGGUUGCCUAAGGAGGGGUGAACCGGCCCAGGUCGGAAACGGAGCAGGUCAAAACUCCCGUGCUGAUCAGUAGUGGGAUCGCGCCUGUGAAUAGCCACUGCACUCCAGCCUGGGCAACAUAGCGAGACCCUGUCUCUU
ensembl:misc_RNA Metazoa_SRP Metazoan signal recognition particle RNA